AUUAACAAACAAAACAACCAUAAAAUUAAUUCUUUAUCCAAGGUCCUUUCGUACUGAUAAAUAAAAUAAUUCAAGAGAUAGAAACCGACCUGGCUCACGCCGGUCUGAACUCAGAUCAUGUAAGAUUUCAAGAGUCGAACAGACUCAAACAUCAAGGAACUACCCCCAACAUUCACCUUAAUCCAACAUCGAGGUCGCAAUCUCACUUAUCGAUAUGAACUCCACAAGUAAAUUACGCUGUUACCCCUUAGGUAACUUAUCUAGUAAACCUCAAUGAAAGAUCAAAACAAAAUUAAAUAAAAUAAACAAAAACAAGGAAGUUCUAGAAAUUCCCCAGUCACCCCAACCCAAGAAAUAAAAAUAAAAACUCUUAACCAAUACUAAACAAAAUUAAUAAAUUAAACAUCCCAAAGUUCUAAAGGGUCUUCUCGUCCCCUUAAUUCAAUAUGGGCAUUUUAACCCAAUUAUUAAAUUCAAAAUCAAUGAGAGAAAGAAAAGUUAACCUCUCGUCAAACCAUUCAUUCUAGACCCCAUUUAAAGAACUAAUUAUUAUGCUACCUUUGCACGGUCAAAAUACCGCAGCCAUUUAAAUAAAUCAUGGGGCAGGCCCGACCUCGAAAAUAAACCUAGAGGACAUGUUUUUGUUAAACAGGCGAAAGUCUAAUUUGCCGAAUUCACUCCCCCCACCAAACAUAUUUACUUAUUUAAUCAUAAUUAUUAAACCAUUUUAAAUUAAAAGCAAUAAUUAAGUACGUCUACUAAUAACAUAAAAAUAAACUUAAGUAUAUAAACCCAGUCAUAACACAAUUAAAGCUGAACACUACUAAUUCUACUAAAUUUAUCACCACAAAAUAAUUCUAGUCUCAAUUCAAAGCUCACCCCUCAAACAAAAAGAACCAGGCCAAACUUAAUUUAAAAAUAAACUCAAUACCAAUCCCAUGUUCCUAGAUUCUAUCUAUAUCCCCUAUAACCAGAUAUAAAAAUACGAAUAUCAUAUCAAUACUAAUAGGAAUAUUCAAAAGAAUAAUGCAACACAAACUUCCCCUAACCCAUUAGAUCACUUUUCUUCGGGAAAUAAAAAAGAAAUUCAUAAACUAAAUUAACCCUGAUACAAAAGGUACAGCCAACACUCCCUACUUCAACCCUAAUAAAAAAUAAACUUUACAGAAAUAAAUAAACCAUUCUUUCAAACACAUAAGACUCAAACAUAUAGUUCCUUCUAACAAAAUAAAACCAACCUAAAAUUAAAUCUCCCCUAA
rnacentral:rRNA from 1 species